GCACUAAUAGCUCAGAUAGAGCACCGGUCUUGUAAACCGGAGGUCGGAGACUAAAACCUCUCCUUAGUGCU
rnacentral:tRNA from 1 species